AGCUUUGCACAGUGGCAGUAUCAUAACGAAUGAGGUUUAUCUGAGGCACGAUUAUUGUUAAUUGAAAACUUUUCUCAUUAUAUGGUGACAAUGUAAGAAAAAAAAGUUAUAUU
ensembl:snRNA U4 U4 spliceosomal RNA